rnacentral:tRNA from 1 species
GUAUAUGGGAGCGGUGGUAGCUCAGUCGGGUAAGCGCCCGCUUCUCAAGCAAGAGAUGCGGGUCCGAAUCCCGGCGCUGACAUGUACC